rnacentral:rRNA from 1 species
AUGGUGAUCGGUUUGCUAGGGAAAUGGCACGAGCCCGAGGACCCCAUGGGGCUCUCUAGCCACAAGCAUAUUUCAGACAUGGAUGGUGGCAUGGCGCUUGAAAAUCUAAUCAAAGUCAUUCAUCACAUUUUCUGCAGCUACUUCCACCAACAUUGCAUACAGAGCACUUGUGGCAUUGUCCCCUGCCCAACGCUCUCGCUGAUAGUUACACACAACCUACACGCAUAUAUGCACUGUGUGAGCCCUCACUUCUUUGUUCGUUCUACUAUAAAUCCAUGGUCUGCUGAACACAAACUUCGUCAUCUCAUCUGCAAGCAACAUCACAGUCUACAACACCCCUUCAGACUUUGA